GGAGUGAGGAUGGUUCUCCUGGCUGGCUGAAGGACCUCCGGAACCUCAGACAGAGCAGUUGCUGGCAGGAACCAGGGGAGCAAGAAAGAGCUCCUGGCUGGCUGCUGGGACGCAACCAGAGCAAGGCCCUGAGGUAAGGACGAAGAAUUCGCUGGGGCCACAGGGAAGUUGCCAGGGAUUCAUAGCAGUGAUGUAGUUUAGUUAAAGGGACUUGGUGGAUGGCUGUUAUCUAUAGGGUCCCUGGGCUGGGACCCGGAGUAGUGGGCAGGCCACGGUGGAAGUGGCCUGGACUUUGAUGUACCCCCAGAAGGGAAAAUGAACUGUUUCAUGGCACAGCUGGAGAGCUGGGGUCAGAAAGGCUCAGAGUGGGCAAAGAUACUGCUCCCAAGGACAGAGCCCUUGGGAUACGGCUUGAUACCAGGGCUGAGACCAUUUAAAGACUGCUGGACUAAAUAAGGACCUGAGCCCAGGAAGGACUACAGGAAGAGAAAGGCCAACUGAGGAGUACAGGGACAGGACCCUGUUGGACUGUUUACCCCAGAAGGAGUUUGAUUUGUAUUUCACAUAUGCACUGUGUGAGACUCGGCCAGAGGGCCGAGUCGCUGAAGACCCACCACAAGCUGAGAGAGUGCAGGCACACGCAUUUGGACAAGAGAGGUCAAUGAAGACUUCUUUAAAUUGAUGCAAAGGAACUGGAAUAAGGCUGGAGCCUUGGAGGUUACAAACUGGAUGUCCAGAGCUGAUUGACUUUGGAAGAGCCAAAUCAUCCAGAUGAAAGGACCAGAGACUCCAUUUUCCAGUCAAAGUGGAAGAAAUGCUGAGGCACAAGAUUCAGAGAGAGGCCUGGUCCUUAGUCUUCAAUGGGUUUUGAAGGAAAGCAAGGGGCAACAAAAUAACCCUCCCUGUUAAAGGCUGGAAAACAGACUUUGUUAUCACUAGUCAGAAAAGUAAUAGGAGACAGACAGUAUGACCAACAGUAAGGCUUCUGUGUAUAUCACAAUCUUGAUACACAAUACAGUAUUCUGUUAAAAUUCCAACUACACUCCUUUGCAGCUUUCAAGAUAUGUUGUCCUUACCCAUGGUUACAGUGAACAAGUCAUGAGACAGCUAGAGACUUUAAGCCCAUAUGUUAGAAGACUGGCCUUGAGUACAAGUACUUUGAGAGCUUGCAGCCAUGUGAUGAGAUCCUUCAAACCUGAUGGAUCAGUAAUGUCGGGCUGAGUUCUUCAAUAG